GGGAUGUUAGCUCAGUUGGUUUAGAGCGCCACGUUGACAGCGUGGAGGUCACAGGUUCGAAUCUUGUACAUCCCA
rnacentral:tRNA from 1 species